rnacentral:rRNA from 1 species
CGGGAAAAGGCAAAGACUGUGAAGCCGAGCAAAUCCCAAAAACAAGCGUCCCAGUUCGGAUUGUAGUCUGCAACUCGACUACAUGAAGCCGGAAUCGCUAGUAAUCGCGAAUCAGAAUGUCGCGGUGAAUACGUUCCCGGGUCUUGUACACACCGCCCGUCACACCAUGGGAGCCGGAAAUGCCUGAAGUCAGUGGCCCAACCGCAAGGAGGGAGCUGCCGAAGGUGGAGCUGGUGACUGGGGUGAAGUCGUAACAAGGUAAC